UCUACGGGAGGCAGCAGUGGGGGAUAUUGCACAAUGGGGGAAACCCUGAUGCAGCACCGCCGCGUGAGUGAAGAAGGUCUUCGGAUUGUACAGCUCUGUUAUUGGUGAAGAUAAUGACGGUAGCCAAGGAGAAAGCUCCGGCUAACUACGUGCCAGCAGCCGCGGUACUACUAAGGGAGCGAGCGUUGUCCGGAUUUACUGGGUGGAAAGGGUGCGCAUGCGGCCCUGCAAGUCAGGCGUGAAAGCUAGGGGCUCAACCCCGUAACUGCGCUGGAAACUUUGAAGCUUGAGUGAAGUAGAGGCAGGCGGAAUUCCCGGUGUAGCGGUGAAAUGCGUAGAGAUCGGGAGGAACACCAGUGGCGAAGGCGGCCUGCUGGGCUUUAACUGACGCUCAGGCACGAAAGCAUGGGUAGCAAACAGGAUUAGAUACCCCAGUAGUC
rnacentral:rRNA from 1 species